rnacentral:lncRNA from 1 species
UAUAUGUGAAAAUGGCAUAUAAACGCACAAUACAUAAAUGUUAAUCCGCCUUCUAUGCUUGUUUGUUUGUUUGUUUGUUUGUUUGUUUGUCUGUUUGUUUGUUUGUUUGUCUGUUUGUUUGCUUGUUUGUCUGUUUGUUUGCUUGUUUGUCUGUUUAUUUGUUAUUCGCUUUUUGUUUUUCUUUCGAAGGUAUUUAUUGUAGAGAUAAACAACUUUUUAAAAAGAAAAGCAGUGUGUUAUAUCACAUGGUUACAUUUAACCAUGGUUUAAAAUCGAGCAUCGUUGAAGAAUUAAAAACAAAGAUAAUGACAACCGAUUAAAUUUUAUUAACAAUUUCAAUAUACAAAAAUGUGCAGAAAGAGAAAGGCGUAACGAAAAUGAAAAAGAAGUUAAGAAAGAAUAUUUGAGUGAUGAUAAAUUAAUUAAACUUGAAAUAGAAUUUGUUUCUACUUUAAAUUUAUUAACUCUUGAUGAAUUAAAAACUCUACAUUUUUUUUUUUCCUGAAAAUUUACUAUUAAUUAAUGAGCAUGUAAAUAAAGAAAGUAUAAUUGAAGGUUUUAUAACAAGUAUAAAUUUAAUUUCAAAUAAAUAUUCCCAAACGAUUAAAAAUGCAUAUAAUGAACAGACUUUUAAACGGAAUACGAAACUAAUUACAUUAGAUGAAUAUUUGAAUGAGUUAAAAGGACCAAUAGAAGUAGAAAUUAAUUUAGAACCCUUAGACAACGAACAAAAUGAAAUAACAACUAAUAUUAAUAUAACAGAUAAAGAAAAUCAUAAUAGUAAUGAUACAAAUAAUGGAGUUCUUAAUAUAAAUUCUUCAACAAAUUAUGAAAAAAUAGUUAUGAACGAAAAUGAAGAAAAAAAUAAAAAAUGAGGCACUGAAAAAUAUAAGCGGUACUAUAGAACAAAGUGAAAAGGGGGAAGUAAAACAAAAUAAUAACACCCCCAAUAAUAAUAAUAACGAUACUGGUAGUGAAAAACAGGUAAACCAAUUAAAUCAAACAGGUGGAACUGAACAAGGAAGAUCAAGCGUUAUAACAAAUGUAAGCACAAACACAAGUAUUACAAACAUUAAUACAAACACAACCAACAUGAACAAUAAUGUAACAAUUACAGAAGUAACAUACCCACCAAGCCAUAUAAUGAUAAAUUCAAAAAAAUACCAACAUAUUAAACACAAUGAUAACUUAUCCAUAAGUUUGACUGCACCAAGUCAAACAAACGAAAACAAACAAAAUAAAGAAAAGGAAAAGAAAAAGGGAUCGAAAAAGGGGUCGAAAAAGGGAUNNNNNNNNNNGAAAAAGGGAUCGAAAAAGGGAUCGAAAAAGGGAUCGAAAAAGGGGUCGAAAAAGGGAUCGAAAAAGGGAUCGAAAAAGAUACCGAAAAGGAUAAAGAAAAAAAAAUAUAUAAUAGUAACAAUGAAAAUAAUAAUAAUAAUAAUGUAAAUAAUAAUAAUAAUAAUGUAAAUACUCAGAAUAAUGUAAAUAAUCAGAAUAUCUACCACAAUAUCAAAACUAAUAAACGAACAAACGACAACA